ACGCUUUUUACUUUAGCUUGCUAGAGUAGAAGGAGUUGCGAACGGGUGAGUAACGCGUAGGUAACCUACCUACUAGCGGGGGAUAACUAUUGGAAACGAUAGCUAAUACCGCAUAAGAGUUUUUAACACAUGUUAGAAGCUUGAAAGGAGCAAUUGCUUCACUAGUAGAUGGACCUGCGUUGUAUUAGCUAGUUGGUGAGGUAACGGCUCACCAGGGCGACGAUACAUAGCCGACCUGAGAGGGUGAUCGGCCACACUGGGACUGAGACACGGCCCAGACUCCUACGGGAGGCAGCAGUAGGGAAUCUUCGGCAAUGGGGGCAACCCUGACCGAGCAACGCCGCGUGAGUGAAGAAGGUUUUCGGAUCGUAAAGCUCUGUUGUAAGAGAAGAACGUGUGUGAGAGUGGAAAGUUCACACAGUGACGGUAACUUACCAGAAAGGGACGGCUAACUACGUGCCAGCAGCCGCGGUAAUACGUAGGUCCCGAGCGUUGUCCGGAUUUAUUGGGCGUAAAGCGAGCGCAGGCGGUUUAAUAAGUCUGAAGUUAAAGGCAGUGGCUUAACCAUUGUUCGCUUUGGAAACUGUUAGACUUGAGUGCAGAAGGGGAGAGUG
rnacentral:rRNA from 1 species